CAGAUGAGAGCAGUUGGCAGUUAUUUUGCAGGAGGCUUCUCAGGGAUGAAGGCAAGCUGGCCCCUAGCUGAUCAGCUGGUUGGUGAGGACUCUUCACGAAGUAAGGGACCAUUGUGAAGAUGGAAGAAUGCCCACAAAAUCCAGCUUGAAACCUGCUGGCUCUGAGGGUCCUGCUGGCUCAGCAGUGCUGUGUUUCUUCUGUCCUAACCAGAAAGUUACCCUUCUAUUUGCGGAGAGCUAUUGCCUAUCGGCCUGGACCAGCAGAUAACUCAGCACUCAUGAUCAGCUGUCAAGCUAUAACGGAGUGUUGAGGCAGUCCCUGAAACCACAGCGCCAUUUUGUAGGAACUAAGAAGCCAACCUCAAGGAAUCACUCGCCCCAAGAAGACUUUGUUCUGAUCUGAUGUGUUUCUAGCCUGGUGGAGCCUCAGCUAUCCAAAGGAAGAGCUGUUAAGAUGAUUGGAAUUUUGGUUUUUCCGAUUCACUCUUUUUUCUCUCCAGCCAUCUGCCUUAGACAGCAGGAGAAAAGGAAACUUAGCCUCAGAGGUGGGGUCCUUCGGAAGGACUGACAGUGGGCUAGCUCUCCUGCUGCUGGGAGCCUGAGUGCCUUUGGCUCCUUGUCCAGACCUCAGCUUUACCACGGAGGUUACCUGCUUACCAUCAACAUCGAAACUUGCCUCUUCCCCUGGGUGUAUUCUCCCUCUUUUGUGUACAGUUUGAUUCCUCCAAACUGCUCUCCCUGUGAAGAAAGCCGAUGGAAUUCAGGGAGCCUGGCCAGCCACCCAGGCCUUUAUAAAGGUCCUCGUACCACAGGAUGUAUGGGAGACCCAAUAAAGACUUUUGCAAAAUGC
rnacentral:lncRNA from 1 species